UAGGCCUGUCUUUCCUCCUUUCCCUGUGUGCUUGGUUUUGGAAUAUCUUCGGCCUAUCCGUUAUUUCCAGUGUCUUUGGCCUUCUAAUGCCAAUUUACGGUCAUUGUCAUUUAGAGACAAUACAUUUCAGGAGCAUGGCUAACAUCUUUCAGAGACUGGCUGAACAUCUAUGGAUGUCUGGCAAGUUCCUUGACAUCCAUUCAAGGUGCGAGACAGAAUCACGUUUCUUUUUUUUCCCCGUCCCGGUAAUCUCUGCUGUGUACGCAAAGAUUAAACUUUUGAGAUGAAAUUUUGUCACCUCUCCUAACCAUGCAGCCACUCUGUCGAGGGACCUGUGAAAAUGACGUCCACUAAACCAUCAAACCUCGUACUAGUGAAUUUUCUAAGCAUUUGGUGGGAAGCAACGAUCUAAAAGAACCACCCCAGAUUUGCUAA